rnacentral:rRNA from 1 species
AUUGAACGCUGGCGGCAGGCCUAACACAUGCAAGUCGAACGGUAGCACAGAGAGCUUGCUCUCGGGUGACGAGUGGCGGACGGGUGAGUAACGUCUGGGAAACUGCCCGAUGGAGGGGGAUAACUACUGGAAACGGUAGCUAAUACCGCAUAACGUCGCAAGACCAAAGUGGGGGACCUUCGGGCCUCACACCAUCGGAUGUGCCCAGAUGGGAUUAGCUAGUAGGUGGGGUAAUGGCUCACCUAGGCGACGAUCCCUAGCUGGUCUGAGAGGAUGACCAGCCACGCUGGAACUGAGGAACGGUCCAGACUCCUACGGGAGGCAGCAGUGGGGAAUAUUGCACAAUGGGCGCAAGCCUGAUGCAGCCAUGCCGCGUGUAUGAAGAAGGCCUUCGGGUUGUAAAGUACUUUCAGCGGGGAGGAAGGCGGUGAAGUUAAUAGCUUCACCGAUUGACGUUACCCGCAGAAGAAGCACCGGCUAACUCCGUGCCAGCAGCCGCGGUAA